rnacentral:rRNA from 1 species
UACGGAGGGGGCUAGCGUUGUUCGGAAUUACUAGGCGUAAAGCGCACGUAGGCGGACCAUCAAGUUGGGGGUGAAAUCCCGGGGCUCAACCCCGGAACUGCCUCCAAAACUGCUGGUCUGGAGGUCGAGAGAGGUGAGUGGAAUUCCGAGUGUAGAGGUGAAAUUCGUAGAUAUUCGGAAGAACACCAGUGGCGAAGGCGACACACUGGCCCGUUACUGACGCUGAGGCGCGAAAGCGUGGGGAGCAAACAGG